GACGAACGCUGGCGGCGUGCUUAACACAUGCAAGUCGAGCGGUAAGGCCCUUUCGGGGGUACACGAGCGGCGAACGGGUGAGUAACACGUGGGUGACCUGCCCUCAGCUCUGGGAUAAGCCUGGGAAACCGGGUCUAAUACCGGAUAUGACUCCAUGACGCAUGUUGUGGGGUGGAAAGCCUUGUGCGGCUGAGGAUGGGCCCGCGGCCUAUCAGCUUGUUGGUGGGGNGAUGGCCUACCAAGGCGACGACGGGUAGCCGGCCUGAGAGGGCGACCGGCCACACUGGGACUGAGACACGGCCCAGACUCCUACGGGAGGCAGCAGUGGGGAAUCUUGCGCAAUGGGCGAAAGCCUGACGCAGCGACGCCGCGUGAGGGAUGACGGCCUGUGU
rnacentral:rRNA from 1 species